GACGAACGCUGGCGGCGUGCCUAAUACAUGCAAGUUGAGCGCUGAAGGUUGGUACUUGUACCGACUGGAUGAGCAGCGAACGGGUGAGUAACGCGUGGGGAAUCUGCCUUUGAGCGGGGGACAACAUUUGGAAACGAAUGCUAAUACCGCAUAAAAACUUUAAACACAAGUUUUAAGUUUGAAAGAUGCAAUUGCAUCACUCAAAGAUGAUCCCGCGUUGUAUUAGCUAGUUGGUGAGGUAAAGGCUCACCAAGGCGAUGAUACAUAGCCGACCUGAGAGGGUGAUCGGCCACAUUGGGACUGAGACACGGCCCAAACUCCUACGGGAGGCAGCAGUAGGGAAUCUUCGGCAAUGGACGAAAGUCUGACCGAGCAACGCCGCGUGAGUGAAGAAGGUUUUCGGAUCGUAAAACUCUGUUGGUAGAGAAGAACGUUGGUGAGAGUGGAAAGCACAUCAAGUGACGGUAACUACCCAGAAAGGGACGGCUAACUACGUG
rnacentral:rRNA from 1 species